rnacentral:piRNA from 1 species
CAAGAAAUGGGCAUCUUCUC